UAAAAUGAUGACAAAGUUGUCGCCCCAGGCGGAUCUAAUUGAAAUGACCGACAAAGCAACAUAGCCAAACACUGAAAAUUCUGAAU
rnacentral:snoRNA from 1 species